CACGUAGGGGGCAAGCGUUGUCCGGAUUUAUUGGGCGUAAAGAGCUCGUAGGCGGUUCGAUAAGUCGGGUGUGAAACCUCCAGGCUCAACCUGGAGACGCCACCCGAUACUGUUGUGACUAGAGUUCAGUAGGGGAGCGUGGAAUUCCUGGUGUAGCGGUGAAAUGCGCAGAUAUCAGGAGGAACACCAGUGGCGAAGGCGGCGCUCUGGGCUGGAACUGACGCUGAGGAGCGAAAGCCAGGGGAGCAAAUGGG
rnacentral:rRNA from 1 species